rnacentral:rRNA from 1 species
GAUGAACGCUGGCGGUAUGCCUAACACAUGCAAGUCGUACGAGAGUUUUUAACUCUAGUGGCGGACGGGUGAGUAACACGUGAGAAUUUGCCUUUAGGAGGGGGAUAACAAUUGGAAACGAAUGCUAAUACCCCAUAUGCUUUUGAGUGAAAUGGAUUUUAUCCGCCUAGAGAGAAGCUCGCGGCUGAUUAGCUUGUUGGUAAGGUAAGAGCUUACCAAGGCGACGAUCAGUAUCUGGUUUGAGAGGACGAUCAGACACACUGGAACUGAGACACGGUCCAGACUCCUACGGGAGGCAGCAGUGGGGAAUUUUCCGCAAUGGGCGAAAGCCUGACGGAGCAAUACCGCGUGAGGGAAGACUGCCUAUGGGUUGUAAACCUCUUUUUUCAGGGAGGAAUAAAAUGACGUGUACCUGAAGAAUAAGCAUCGGCUAACUCCGUG